UCGACCUUUGCAAGGACAGAGCAAAAUCCACUUGGAGGGUUAGAGCUGAUAUGAAGCAGUUCUUGCAAUGGGGCAUGAUGGGGAAAUGUCAAGGAACUGGAGCUGUUUUCUUACAUCACAAAUCUGGGGAAAAUUAUGUCUGCCUGAUUAUGCGCUUUAUGGGAAGAAAUAACACCAUGUUUAAUGCACUGGAGAGUUUUCUUAAAAUAUACUGAAGCUUUUUCACAGCACUCCUGCUUGGGACACAUCUUCAGCCAAGGUUAUCUGAGUGGUGAGGGACCACCAGAAAAGACUACUCCAGCUGCAGUAAUAAAGGGCUUCAGAAGAUGUAUGAUGGCUCUUGAGCUAGAUUUUCUCAUUCUUUCUGGAUUUUUUGCCCUAGUUGUCACCAAGUAAAAAAAGCUAACUUGCAGCAGGCAAGCAGCAUCUCAGCAAUCAGCAAAGCACCCUUAAACUUCUCAAAACUCUGAUGUCCAGAAAGUUUCCUGUUUAUACACAGCACAACUGUGUGAGAGGUAUACAACUGCACACCCGCACCAGGACAGUCAUGUGCCUGACAGGUCAGAGUCAACGCUGAUCAGAAAGCUGAAGUGCCUUGGAAAAUAUUGGACUCCCUCUGGGAAACUGCACUUAUAUUUAAUUUACUCUUUUAAAUAGCCCGUAAUUUAAACUGGCUCAAAUAAGACACAAGAGAUCAAAACAUUAACCAAAGGAUGGUGUCACUGUUGAAACAGCAUCUGACUCUUCCUACUGCGAUUAUACUUGGUUAUUUCGGAUGGAUCUUAUUUCUGCUCCCAUCAGCUGGUGGUGCAGCAGGUCAUUUCUGUCUUACCCAGUCCAAAGGACCAAGAGAAGCAUGAACAGCCCUAAGACAGAGGGGAAAAGUCCGAUGCUUGCUCUGCUGCCAGCGCAACAUGCUGUUGUAGCAUAGAGAAAUGUGCACCUCAGAAGGAGAUGCAGAGCAGCAAAAUGUGCACCCCUUUCUCCAGAUACUCUCAGCAGCUAAAGCAAAAUAUACACCAUAGUUAAAGGAUGUAAGCUGAGGAAAGCAGAGGAUCCACCAUGAAAAUGAAUAUAAUAAUGCAUUGCUUAAAAUAAAGGCAUGAUGCUCUGCUGCCUGCUGCAACAUGACUUCAUCAGGCAAACAUAACCUGGUGUCUCUGGUGUAGCUUUGCACUGAAAAAUUACUUUUGUCUAGAGCAGGUGUGUCAAAUCCAUUUUAACCAGGGGCAACCUUUGAAGGCGACCAUGAGGCUGAUGUGGCCCCAAUGAAAUUGAGUUUAACACCCCUAGUCUAGACAUACCAGGGCUUCCCUGAAUGACAAGAAAACAUGCAUAUGAAUCUAGAACAUUUUCUGUCACUUAGGGGUGCCAGUCACCCAAAGACUUCAUUUCCUGUUCUUAUUUCUUCUUCAAGCUCAAAAGUUCACUGUUGCUUUAACUUUCUAUGCACAAAGCUAUUCUUAGAUGUUGUCUUGUGGAAAACUAAGAAAAUGUAUCAAAAAACUUUUUAAGGGGUAGGUGGUCCCUUGAGAGACUUAGAGGCAUUGCUAAUAAUUUAACUGUUAGGAGGUUUACUUUUCAGAAUAAAUAUUGUGUCUUUUUUUUUUACUACAUUUUUUACUAUGAUACUUCCACAGCAAAGAACCCUGGUCUUCAGCUCCACAAGUAGAGACCUGCAAGGAUACCAGAUGGAGAAAUGGCAGCAAAUAGGAAUGUGGCAUGUUA